CUUCACUUUCUCACUGGCAGAUGUAUCUUACCUAUUCUUUUUUGUUGACUUCAGCUUUCAAGUCCCAAUAUGGUCAUCUGCUACUUCUUCUUUGAUAAAGCGUUUAUUAUAAUGAGACCAUGAGCAACUUACUGAUUCUCUUAAGUUGGUUUCCUCUUCCUAUGUUGGGACAACUGAAUGAGAUAAAUUCCAGGACCUGGCAGAUGUUGACUAUCAAGAAGGAUGAAGAAACUAGAAACUCAGAACUGAACACGACCAGCCUCAUUGACUGUGGAAGAAGCAGGAUGUGCCUUUGUCUGCUUCUCACAGAAGCCCCUCCUUCCUGCUGGCUUUGUAAGGAUCAACAAGAGGAACAAGUAGAAGACAGAGGACCUCCCUUCAUCUGUACUGCUGACAUAGAAAUGAAAGAGCCUUUGUGA
rnacentral:lncRNA from 1 species